rnacentral:rRNA from 2 species
UGUGGUGGCGAUAGCAAGAAGGAUACACCUGUUCCCAUGCCGAACACAGUAGUUAAGCUUCUUAGCGCCGAUGGUAGUUGGGGGUUUCCCCCUGUGAGAGUAGGACGUUGCCACGC